GACGAACGCUGGCGGCGUGCCUAAUACAUGCAAGUAGAACGCUGAAGAGAGGAGCUUGCUCUUCUUGGAUGAGUUGCGAACGGGUGAGUAACGCGUAGGUAACCUGCCUUGUAGCGGGGGAUAACUAUUGGAAACGAUAGCUAAUACCGCAUAACAAUGGAUGACCCAUGUCAUUUAUUUGAAAGGGGCAAUUGCUCCACUACAAGAUGGACCUGCGUUGUAUUAGCUAGUAGGUGAGGUAACGGCUCACCUAGGCGACGAUACAUAGCCGACCUGAGAGGGUGAUCGGCCACACUGGGACUGAGACACGGCCCAGACUCCUACGGGAGGCAGCAGUAGGGAAUCUUCGGCAAUGGGGGCAACCCUGACCGAGCAACGCCGCGUGAGUGAAGAAGGUUUUCGGAUCGUAAAGCUCUGUUGUAAGUCAAGAACGAGUGUGAGAGUGGAAAGUUCACACUGUGACGGUAGCUUACCAGAAAGGGACGGCUAACUACGUGCCAGCAGCCGCGGUAAUACGUAGGUCCCGAGCGUUGUCCGGAUUUAUUGGGCGUAAAGCGAGCGCAGGCGGUUUGAUAAGUCUGAAGUUAAAGGCUGUGGCUCAACCAUAGUUCGCUUUGGAAACUGUCAAACUUGAGUGCAGAAGGGGAGAGUGGAAUUCCAUGUGUAGCGGUGGAAUGCGUAGAUAUAUGGAGGAACACCGGUGGCGAAAGCGGCUCUCUGGUCUGUAACUGACGCUGAGGCUCGAAAGCGUGGGGAGCGAACAGGAUUAGAUACCCUGGUAGUCCACGCCGUAAACGAUGAGUGCUAGGUGUUGGAUCCUUUCCGGGAUUCAGUGCCGCAGCUAACGCAUUAAGCACUCCGCCUGGGGAGUACGACCGCAAGGUUGAAACUCAAAGGAAUUGACAGGGGCCCGCACAAGCGGUGGAGCAUGUGGUUUAAUUCGAAGCAACGCGAAGAACCUUACCAGGUCUUGACAUCCCGAUGCUAUUUCUAGAGAUAGAAAGUUACUUCGGUACAUCGGUGACAGGUGGUGCAUGGUUGUCGUCAGCUCGUGUCGUGAGAUGUUGGGUUAAGUCCCGCAACGAGCGCAACCCCUAUUGUUAGUUGCCAUCAUUCAGUUGGGCACUCUAGCGAGACUGCCGGUAAUAAACCGGAGGAAGGUGGGGAUGACGUCAAAUCAUCAUGCCCCUUAUGACCUGGGCUACACACGUGCUACAAUGGUUGGUACAACGAGUUGCGAGUCGGUGACGGCAAGCUAAUCUCUUAAAGCCAAUCUCAGUUCGGAUUGUAGGCUGCAACUCGCCUACAUGAAGUCGGAAUCGCUAGUAAUCGCGGAUCAGCACGCCGCGGUGAAUACGUUCCCGGGCCU
rnacentral:rRNA from 1 species